UACGGGGGGGGCAAGCGUUGUUCGGAAUUACUGGGCGUAAAGGGUUCGUAGGCGGCCAACUCAGUCAGACGUGAAAUCCCUCAGCUCAACUGGGGAACUGCGUCUGAUACUAGAUGGCUCGAGUGCAGGAGAGGAACGCGGAAUUCCAGGUGUAGCGGUGAAAUGCGUAGAUAUCUGGAGGAACACCGGUGGCGAAGGCGGCGUUCUGGACUGCAACUGACACUGAGGAACGAAAGCCAGGGGAGCAAACGGG
rnacentral:rRNA from 1 species